AAAGCACUCGCAUCCCUUUCCAAUUUACCUGAGCACCUUCUCUUCACUCAGCCAACUGCUCGCUCACUCACCUCCCUCCUCGGCACCAUGAGCACCUGCAGCCGCCAGUUCACCUCCUCCAGCUCCAUGAAGGGCUCCUGCGGCAUCGGGGGCGGCAUCGGGGGCGGCUCCAGCCACAUCUCCUCCGUCCUGGCCGGAGGGUCGUGCCGCGCCCCCAGCACCUACAGGGGUGGCCUGUCUGUCUCCUCCUCCUGCUUCUCCUCUGGGGGAGCCUACAGGCUGGGGGGCGGCUAUGGCGGUGGCUUCAGCAGCAGCAGCAGCUUCGGUAGUGGCUUUGGAGGAGGAUAUGGUGGUGGCCUUGGUGCUGGCUUCGGUGGUGGCUUGGGUGGUGGCUUUGCUGGUGGUGAUGGCCUUCUGGUGGGCAGUGAGAAGGUGACCAUGCAGAACCUCAACGACAGCCUGGUCUCCUACCUGGACAAGGUGCGUGCCCUGGAGGAGGCCAACGCUGACCUGGAGGUGAAGAUCCAUGACUGGUACCAGUGGCAGCGGCCUGCUAAGAUCAAAGACUACAGUCCCUACUUCAAGACCAUCGAGGAUCUGAGGAACAAGAUCCUCACGGCCACAGUGGACAAUGCCAAUGUCCUUCUGCAGAUUGACAACGCCCGUCUGGCCGCAGAUGACUUCCGCACCAAGCGAGUUUGCAGUGGUAUGAGACAGAGUUGAACCUGCGCAUGAGUGUGGGGGCCGACAUCAAUGGCAUGCGCCAGGUGCUGGGGUGCUGGACGAACUGACCCUGGCCAGAGCUGACCUGGAGAUGCAGAUUGAGAGCCUGAAGGAGGAGCUGGCCUAACUGAAGAAGAACCAUGAGGAGGAGAUGAAUGCCCUGAGAGGCCAGGUGGGUGGAGAUGUCAAUGUGGAGAUGGACGAUGCACCUGGUGUGGACCUGAGCCACAUUCUGAACGAGAUGCGUGACCAGUACGAGAAGAUGGCAGAGAAGAACCACAAGGACGCAGAGGAACGGUUCUUCACUAAGACAGAGAAGCUGAACCACGAGGUGGCCACCAACAGCGAGCUGGUGCAGAGCGGCAAGAGCGAGAUUUCGGAGCUCUGGCACACCAUGCAGAACCUGGAGAUUGAGCUGCAGUCCCAGCUCAGCAUGUUAGGAAUGGUGCCAGGCCCGGUGGUGCACCCAGAACUGGCAGGGAGAGAAUGGCCACACUCACUAAUCCUUGAUUCCCUUUCCCUCCCUCACAGAAAGCAUCCCUGGAGAACAGCCUGGAGGAGACCAAAGGCCGCUACUGUGUGCAGCUGGCCCAAAUCCAGGAGAUGAUUGGCAGUGUGGAGGAGCAGCUGGCCCAGCUCUGCUGCGAGAUGGAGCAGCAGAACCAGGAGUACAAGAUCCUGCUGGACGUGAAGAUGCGGCUGGAACAGGAGAUCGCCACCUACCGCCGCCUGCUGGAGGGCGAGGAUGCCCAAUGAGUCUUGGCCCUCCCCUUAAUCCGCCCCACCAUGGCACUCUCACGGCCCCACCAUGUAUCUAAUGACCCUGCCCUUUUCUGUCUUCACAGCCUCUCCUCCUCCCAGUUCUCCUCUGGAUCGCAGUCAUCCAGAGACCGUGACCUCCUCCAGCCACCAAAUCCACACCAAGAUCAUGGAUGUGCACGAUGGCAAGGUGGUGUCCACCCACGAGCAGGUCCUUCGCACCAAGAACUGAGGCUGCCCAGCCCCGCUCAGGCCCAGGAGGCCCCCUGUGUGGACACGGAUCCCACUAGAAGAUCCCCUCUCCUGCCGCCUAAGCACUUCACACCUGGACCCUGCUUCACCCUCACCCCCUCCUGGCAAUCAAUACAGCUUCAUUAUCUGAGUUGCAUAA
ensembl:lncRNA novel transcript